rnacentral:rRNA from 1 species
UACGUAGGGUGCGAGCGUUAAUCGGAAUUACUGGGCGUAAAGCGCGUGUAGGCUGCUCUGCAAGUCGGGUGUGAAAGCCCCGGGCUCAACCUGGGAAGUGCACUCGAAACUGCAGAGCUCGAGUCCUGGAGAGGAAGGCGGAAUUCUCGGUGUAGAGGUGAAAUUCGUAGAUAUCGAGAGGAACACCGGUGGCGAAGGCGGCCUUCUGGACAGUGACUGACGCUGAGACGCGAAAGCGUGGGGAGCAAACAGG